rnacentral:tRNA from 1 species
AAGGGUAUAGCUUAGUGGUAGAGCACAUGCUUAGCAUACACCAAGUCGUGGGUUCAAUCCCCAGUACCUCUG